AGUGAACGCUGGCGGUAGGCCUAACACAUGCAAGUCGAACGGCAGCACAGUAAGAGCUUGCUCUUACGGGUGGCGAGUGGCGGACGGGUGAGGAAUACAUCGGAAUCUACUUUUUCGUGGGGGAUAACGUAGGGAAACUUACGCUAAUACCGCAUACGACCUACGGGUGGAAGCAGGGGAUCUUCGUACCUUGCGCGAUUGAAUUAGCCGAUGUCGGAUUGGCUAGUUGGCUGGGUAAAGGCCCACCAAGGCGACGAUCCGUAGCUGGUCUGAGAGGAUGAUCAGCCACACUGGAACUGAGACACGGUCCAGACUCCUACGGGAGGCAGCAGUGGGGAAUAUUGGACAAUGGGCGAAAGCCUGAUACAGCCAUACCGCGUGGGUGAAGAAGGCCUUCGGGUUGUAAAGCCCUUUUGUUGGGAAAGAAAAGCAGCAGGUUAAUACCCCGCUGUUCUGACGGUACCCAAAGAAUAAGCACCGGCUAACUUCGUG
rnacentral:rRNA from 1 species